rnacentral:tRNA from 1 species
GGGGAUUUAGCUCAGAGGUAGAGCACUUGCCUAGCAAGCGCAAGGCCCUGGGUUCGAUCCUCAGCUCCG